rnacentral:ncRNA from 1 species
UUCUAAUAUUAUUUUCGAUGUUCAAGUUUAUGGACUUGUUCCAAUAAAGUAUUAGAUAUUAAAGAGGUUUAUUCCUUCUAUAAAAGGUAAAAAAUGUAUUAAUUUUAGUAUUAAUCUAGUAGAAAAUCGAAAGAAAUAUUAAAAU